rnacentral:tRNA from 1 species
AUUUAUAUAGUUUAAAUAAAACCUUACAUUUUCAUUGUAAUAAUAAAAUCUUUUUUUUUAUAAAUU